UUGAACGCUGGCGGCAGGCCUAACACAUGCAAGUCGAGCGGUAACAGGGGAAGCUUGCUUCCCGCUGACGAGCGGCGGACGGGUGAGUAAUGUAUGGGGAUCUGCCCGAUAGAGGGGGAUGACCACUGGAAACGGUGGCUAAUACCGCAUAAUCUCUUAGGAGCAAAGCAGGGGAACUUCGGUCCUUGCGCUAUCGGAUGAACCCAUAUGGGAUUAGCUAGUAGGUGGGGUAAUGGCUCACCUAGGCGACGAUCCCUAGCUGGUCUGAGAGGAUGAUCAGCCACACUAGGACUGAGACACGGCCCAGACUCCUACGGGAGGCAGCAGUGGGGAAUAUUGCACAAUGGGCGCAAGCCUGAUGCAGCCAUGCCGCGUGUAUGAAGAAGGCCCUAGGGUUGUAAAGUACUUUCAGUCGGGAGGAAGGCGUUGAUGCUAAUAUCAUCAACGAUUGACGUUACCGACAGAAGAAGCACCGGCUAACUCCGUGCCAGCAGCCGCGGUAAUACGGAGGGUGCAAGCGUUAAUCGGAAUUACUGGGCGUAAAGCGCACGCAGGCGGUUGAUUAAGUUAGAUGUGAAAUCCCCGGGCUUAACCUGGGAAUGGCAUCUAAGACUGGUCAGCUAGAGUCUUGUAGAGGGGGGUAGAAUUCCAUGUGUAGCGGUGAAAUGCGUAGAGAUGUGGAGGAAUACCGGUGGCGAAGGCGGCCCCCUGGACAAAGACUGACGCUCAGGUGCGAAAGCGUGGGGAGCAAACAGGAUUAGAUACC
rnacentral:rRNA from 1 species